GGAAAUUCCGUCAGCGGUUCUGGAUGGACAUUAGGUUUCAGCCGACCUGUGACCAAUGUCGCAAGCGAACUACCCCAGACCGACAGGACUGUCUUGCUGUAAGUGGACAGAACCCUGGUCAGAUAUAUCUAGGAAGGUUGUCUGAGCUCUAGUUGGGUGAUUUGGCGUCUGGGGUAUCUGAAGCUUGAUAGAUUUAUGACAUUUCAGCUGCAUUAUUCACUCCUUUAACAAAGUUUUUAACCCUGGCGAACACCUUUAUUGAGGUACAAGGACCUUUAUGGUUAUAUGUGGGGAUCCGAUAUCAUGUACCCCUCCGUGAUAGUCCUGAGGGGAACAUGUAAUCAUACUGAGUCAAGUGCUU